UACGUAGGGUCCGAGCGUUGUCCGGAAUUAUUGGGCGUAAAGAGCUCGUAGGCGGUCUGUCGCGUCGGCUGUGAAAACCUGGGGCUCAACUCCAGGCCUGCAGUCGAUACGGGCAGACUAGAGUUCGGUAGGGGAGACUGGAAUUCCUGGUGUAGCGGUGAAAUGCGCAGAUAUCAGGAGGAACACCGGUGGCGAAGGCGGGUCUCUGGGCCGAAACUGACGCUGAGGAGCGAAAGCGUGGGGAGCGAACAGG
rnacentral:rRNA from 1 species